GCAUGCUUAGCUCAGUGGUAGAGCACAUCCUUCACACGGAUGGGGUCGCAGGUUCGAAGCCUGCAGCGUGCACCA
rnacentral:tRNA from 1 species